GACGUAGGAUGCAAGCGUUGUCCGGAUUUAUUGGGCGUAAAGAGUUCGUAGGCGGUUCGUUAAGUCUGAUGUUAAAUAUCGGGGCUCAACCUCGGGAGUGCAUUGGAUACUGGCGGACUGGAGUGUGGUAGAGGUUAGUGGAAUUCCCAGUGUAGCGGUGAAAUGCGUAGAUAUCAGGAAGAACACCCGUGGCUAAGGCGGCUCUCUAGUACGGUACUGACGCUGAGACGCGAAAGCGUGGGGAGCGAACAGG
rnacentral:rRNA from 1 species